rnacentral:tRNA from 1 species
GCGGUGAGCUUCGGAAGCAGACGGGUUUCAUAAUCCCGUACAUGCCGGUUCGACUCCGGCCACCGCUA